rnacentral:lncRNA from 1 species
GUCCAAUCCUUCUCCUGGAAUUUGCAAGCCUUCAAUGGAUUCCAGAGUUCCAAAUAUUUAUGUCAGACUGGUCCUGCCACUGCAAUUGUUGUCUACGUAGGAGAUAGACCCCUGGGCCUUCCUACUCUGCCAUCUUCCCCAGAUUAUGUACUUCUUAAAAAAUAGACUGUGGACAGAUCUAAGUCUGUUGCCUACAUAAGCAUCACUGGAGACUACAGUAGAAAUAUUAAUGGGUGAGAUCUUAGCAAACAUUAUAGGCGGAACUCUACCAUAGAUUCUGAUAUUAUUGAAUCAUCUCAGAGAUUGCUUAACACAAAUUUCAACCUCUAAGGUACUUCUACAAUACUCCUCAUGAAGGAUCAUCAGCCUGCACUUGAAUGUCUUCCCUGAGAAGGACAUUGCCAUCUCAAAAAAAAAGCAACUUUUAGAUUCUUUGCAAGCUGUAAGCAGAAAUAUGAAUACCAUUCUUCAUAGGGAACUGGAAUGCAAGGAGAGAGAGUCUCUUCAGUAACUCUCUGGUUAUGAAUAAUAUUUGCAAAGAAAGUAAAUUGAAUAAAAGAAGGAGAGCCUGCUUACUGUCUCAAGCAGAUGCAUUUCCGCUUGCAGCAUGGAGCAAUGCAGGAGUUGUAGCAACAGAGAGCUGAACUCAGAUUACACUGCUGCCCACUACUAGCAACUUGGUGGUAAUCAAAGUGACUUCUUGUUCCUGAGCCUGAUUAAUCAAAGGCGAAAUGGAAAUGAAUAACAACUUCCUCAGUAGCUUCAGAUGAAGAUUAAGAGAUGCUGCACGCAAAUACCUGGCGUAUCUUAUAUUCUCAAUAAAUGCAGUUCCUCUCUCCAUAAAGGAAAAAGUUCAUUAUUACUUAAUGACUGUAUCCACCUUUCACAUUUCUAGCAUAUGAAGGAUUCCAGGACAGUAAUAGAAUACUGGCUGGGCCUGACCAGACUUAUUUAUAUCUGUUAUUGUUACUUAAAUUUAACACAGGAAUUUAAAGGGGUAGCAAAACAAACAGUUGAAAAGGUCUAAAGCCGUGUUAUUGCUAAACUAGUGAAAGUUAAUGGUCAUGUUCAGUGUGUGGAGAAAGAGAGAAUGAAAUCAAGUUAUAGAUUUAAAAGAGAGAGGCCAGGAACCGUAUCUGUCUGCCUCCUACCACUGUCUGAGGUGUCUGUAUCUUUCACCCCACUUCUUGAACAAAACUGCCCCUUAGCCAAAGCUCAUUGGAUUAGGGUCUGUUCUGGGUACCGGAUUCAUAUGCAGCCAAUUUCCAUACUGAUAAGCCUGGCCAAAGAACAAGAUCUUGUAUCCUUGGAAUUGGGCCACUGAGUACUAAGAGAUUAUUUGCUACAUAUAGGCAAUAUAGGACCUCCGCUAGUUGAGUGACGGUCCUAGACAAAGAAGGAAUGUUAAAGUUGGGAGGCUGGUGACGGAGGAAGGCAGUGGCAAAAUCAAUCUACUCUUUUUUUAUUGGUUUAAGCCAAAACUUGAACAUGCGUUUGUUACAAAGAAA